rnacentral:rRNA from 1 species
CGAAAGCCUGACCGAGCGACGCCGUGUGUGGGAUGAAGGCCUUCGGGUUGUAAACCACUGUCGUAGAGGAGGAAAUUGACCGGGGUUCUCCCCGGUUAUUGACCUAUUCUAGGAGGAAGGACGGGCUAAGUUCGUGCCAGCAGCCGCGGUAAUACGAACCGUCCAAACGUUAUUCGGAAUCACUGGGCUUAAAGGGUACGUAGGCGGCGCUGUUAGUCGGGUGUGAAAUCCCUCGGCUCAACCGAGGAAUUGCGUCCGAUACUGCAGUGCUUGAGGGAGACAGAGGUAAGCGGAACUGAUGGUGGAGCGGUGAAAUGCGUUGAUAUCAUCAGGAACACCGGUGGCGAAAGCGGCUUACUGGGUCUCUUCUGACGCUGAGGUACGAAAGCUAGGGGAGCGAAGGGGAUUAGAUACCCCCGUAGUCCUAGCCGUAAACUCUGAGCACUUGAUCGUGGGCCCCCCCAUAGGCUCUCGGUCGUAGCGAAAGUGUUAAGUGCUCCGCCUGGGGAGUAUGGUCGCAAGGCUG